rnacentral:rRNA from 1 species
UACGAAGGGGGCUAGCGUUGCUCGGAAUCACUGGGCGUAAAGCGCACGUAGGCGGACUCUUAAGUCAGGGGUGAAAUCCUGGAGCUCAACUCCAGAACUGCCCUUGAUACUGGGAGCCUUGAGUUCGGGAGAGGUGAGUGGAACUGCGAGUGUAGAGGUGAAAUUCGUAGAUAUUCGCAAGAACACCAGUGGCGAAGGCGGCUCACUGGACCGGUAUUGACGCUGAGGUGCGAAAGCGUGGGGAGCAAACAGG